rnacentral:lncRNA from 1 species
AAAGAGUCCUCCUUUCUGGAAGGGCUGAGACACCCCUUCUUCUUAUCCCUGAGGAAAACGACUUUCAUCUACAAAGUCCCUGGUCUGACAAAGAAAAUCUAUUCUGUGCUCAUGGUCCCAAAGCAUUACUCCUGCCUGUCAUGACACCAGGAAGAAUGUCCAAUGACUCCCAGGUGAAGCAAGGUGCUCUAGGAAUGAAAGCCCCAUGAAUUUUGUGGUCCACUGUAUAUGAAUGAGAAGGUGAUGAAGAUGGGAAGUGAAAGAUAGGAUGGAAGAAAUAUUCUACAAAAGGAGCAACAAAUAACCCCUAAACAAACAGGAAAUGUUUGCAGAACACUACGGAGAGAGGGUGUUAACUUUAGACUGGAAAUCUGGGAAAUAAUUGUUACCGG